rnacentral:misc_RNA from 1 species
GAUGAAGAACGCAGCGAAAUGCGAUACUUGGUGUGAAUUGCAGAAUCCCGUGAACCAUCGAGUCUUUGAACGCAAGUUGCGCCCGAAGCCAUCAGGUUGAGGGCACGUCUGCCUGGGCGUUACAUAUCGUUGCCCAAUGCCUAUUGCAGUGCAAUAGGAAUUUCUAGGGCGAAUGAUGGCUUCCCGUGAGCGUUGUUGCCUCGCGGUUGGUUGAAAAUCGAGUCCUUGGUAGGGUGUGCCAUGGUAGAUGGUGGUCGAGUUAGAACGAUACCGAUCAUGUGCAUGCUCCCCAAAAUAUGGCCUCUAUGACCCACACGCGUCUUUUGACGCUCAUGACGAGACCUCAGGUCAGGCGGGGCUACCCGCUGAAUUUAAGCAUAUCAAUAAGCGGAGGA